AAACCAGCACCUCAAGUGGUCAGGAGGAUUAUUGGGCCUAAAGCAUCCGUAGCCUGCUCUGUAAGUUUUCGGUUAAAUCUGUACGCUCAACGUACAGGCUGCCGGGAAUACUGCAGAUCUAGGGAGUGGGAGAGGUAGACGGUACUCGGGAGGAAGUGGUAAAAUGCUUUGAUCUCUCGAUGACCACCUGUGGCGAAGGCGGUCUACCAGAACACGUCCGACGGUGAGGGAUGAAAGCUGGGGGAGCAAACCGGAUUAGAAACCCGAGUAGUCC
rnacentral:rRNA from 1 species